AGUGAACGCUGGCGGCGUGCUUAACACAUGCAAGUCGAACGAGAAACGGAUUUAGCUUGCUAAAUUGCAGUCUAAGUGGCGCACGGGUGAGUAAUGUAUAGGUAAUAUGCCUCUUACUAAGGGAUAACAAUUGGAAACGAUUGCUAAUACCUUAUAUGCCUUUAAUACGGAAGUAUGCAAGGGAAAGAUUAUUGGUAAGAGAUUAGCCUGUAUGGUAUCAGUUAGUUGGUGAGGUAAUGGCUCACCAAGACAAUGACGCCUAACUGGUUUGAGAGGAUGAUCAGUCACACUGGAACUGAGACACGGUCCAGACUCCUACGGGAGGCAGCAGUGGGGAAUAUUGCACAAUGGACGAAAGUCUGAUGCAGCAACGCCGCGUGGAGGAUGACACAUUUCGGUGCGUAAACUCCUUUUAUAUAGGAAGAUAAUGACGGUACUAUAUGAAUAAGCACCGGCUAACUCCGUGCCAGCCGCCGCCGUAA
rnacentral:rRNA from 1 species